UGCAUCCCGCUGGGAGACACCGCCUCACGGCGGGGCCGAAGGAGCAACCGCCCCGGAAACUCUCAGGCAAAAGGACCAGCGGACGAGG
rnacentral:ncRNA from 2 species